UAUCACUUUGCACGACCAUUACUCUGAAAAACAGAGAGAAAAGAAAACCAAAAACCAUUUCUUUUGGUUUGAAGAAAUUCUAAGGAGAUCCAAGUGAAAUCAAAGCCAAAGAAGUGGAUUAAGCUUAGUUUUGGUCUUUUUAUGAUAUUUCUUGGUGGUUUCCAAGUGGUUUGAGGUUUAGAAAAGCUAGAAGAGAUUGUUUUCGCCGAAAAGUUGCUCGGAUAAGCACAUCAACACCUAAGACAUCACUUGUUACACGGUGAAAUAUAUUUUGGACAAAAGGUAGAGAAAGAAAUGAGUGAAUGACAUAAGGAGAACUGAAGCAUGGUCCUGACCCUGAUUUGUACAUAUGAACAUAUCGACCUUUUUGUGGGUUAUUUCAGUUAUCAGUGUGAUGUUUGUAAUAAAGUGUGAAGUUAUGUUUUGAAAAAAAAAUGGGUUAUUUAAUACUUAUGUAUAAUAUGUUUGAGACACACUUUAUGUUUAAUGUAAAUAAUGUGAAAUAAGUUUUCAA